GAGGGUGACAGGUGGUGCAUGGUUGUCGUCAGCUCGUGUCGUGAGAUGUUGGGUUAAGUCCCGCAACGAGCGCAACCCUCGACCUUAGUUGCCAGCAUUCAGUUGGGCACUCUAAGGUGACUGCCGGCUAAAGUCGGAGGAAGGUGGGGAUGACGUCAAAUCAUCAUGCCCCUUAUGACCUGGGCUACACACGUGCUACAAUGGGCGGUACAAAGGGUCGCGAACCCGCGAGGGGGAGCCAAUCCCAAAAAGCCGCUCUCAGUUCGGAUUGCAGGCUGCAACUCGCCUGCAUGAAGCCGGAAUCGCUAGUAAUCGCGGAUCAGCAUGCCGCGGUGAAUACGUUCCCGGGCCUU
rnacentral:rRNA from 1 species